GUAGCUGAAGGAAUCUCUGCCUUUUGGGUUCUAAAAUCCUAAAACAGCCACAGCUGACCUGGGGAUCUGAGCUCACAAACCAUUGUUUGCCCACCUGGAGUUUAAAUAGAAAAUACAAAACAAGAGGAACCACAGUAUGAGUGGAAUUUGCUUCAAAAGCAAAGACCAAGAAGACUUGUCUUGAGAAGGACCCAGAACAAAAGUCGCAAUAAGAAAAAAGGGCUCAGUUUUUAUAGAAGAAGUUAUCACUUGACAGAUCCUCAAGGCUCAGGUUAGAAACACACAUCUGUCACAACCUGACAUGUCCAAUGAAAGAAGAAAUAGAGUUGAAAUCAUUA
rnacentral:lncRNA from 12 species